AUCCAGCUGACGAGUUCCAAAUAGGGCGAAACGCGCGUCGUGGAU
rfam:Schistosoma rodhaini strain Burundi genome assembly, scaffold: SROB_scaffold0001638